rnacentral:misc_RNA from 1 species
UUUCCGUAGGUGAACCUGCGGAAGGAUCAUUAUUGAAUAAACCUGAUGUGGUUGUAGCUGGCCCUUUCGGGAGCAUGUGCACACCCGUCGUCUUUAUCUUUCCACCUGUGCACCCUUUGUAGACCUGGAUGUAACACUUUCCGAGGCAACUCGGUCGGGAGGAAUGCUGUCAGCUUUCCUUGAAUGUCCAGGCCUAUGUUUUCAUAUACCCCAAAGAAUGUAACAGAAUGUAUUAUUGGGCCUUGUGCCUAUAAACUAUAUACAACUUUCAGCAACGGAUCUCUUGGCUCUC